rnacentral:lncRNA from 1 species
GUUGUCAUACUUGGUUUUUCACUGUGCUUGGUUGUUUUAAUGUAACUUAGAGGUUUGGGUGCUUUUUUUAGAGUGUUCUUGGUCAUGCUUGGGUUUGGAACUUAGGGGUCAUGUGGGUUGGAUGUUGGAAGUGAAGUUGUGCAUAUUCUGCUGUGGUAAUCGUUUACCACACCCUCGUAAACGAUUACCAGAAUCAUUUCAGUCAUUUGGACACAAACUCUGACAGAGGGAUCCCCUAUGUUGUUCCUAGAGGACCAGGGUUCUCAUACUUGGUUUUUCACUAUGCUUGGUUGUUUUAAUGUUGUGUUAUUGGAUAAUAAUUUUGGUCAAAUUAAUGAUGGAUACAACACACAAAUUGCAUUACUUAACCGAACUUCAUUCAUCCAAACAAAGUUUGAUCCAUACAUUCAUUACGAUAACUUCCAUAUUGACUACAACACUAAACAAAUACAAAAGAUUGCAACACUAAAAUGUAAAUUAAAACACAAAUAGAGUUCUUCAUGUCCACAAACAAUGAUAAACACCACAUUUCAAAGGUUAGGAGGAGCGUUAUCAAAGCGCAUCCGCAAGUGCUGCAGUUCCUCCUCCAUGCUUCCAAUGGCCGUUUCGAUGUUUCCAAAUUGAGUUGUGAAGUUGUCAAAGAUAACAAUGUGGAUAGAAAUAGUUAGGUUUCCCUAAAAUUAAAAACUUUUACAAAUAACAAAUGGACCAUAAUACCCAACCUUCAAAAAACCCUCAAAAACGAAGAACGAAUGUGAGGCAACGACACCCAACGAACAAGAAAACGAUUCCGACAGCCAAGAGUCCGACAGCGAGAUUAGCAACCUUCCGAGAGCAAGAUUCGGAGAGCAAAAAACACCACGAUUCCGAUACCACAGUGAGAAGGCAAAAGCGCAAGAGAGCGAGAAGGAGAAACAGAGCAAGAGAGCGAGAAGGCAAAAAGGCAAAGUCUGAAACCGUGCUCAAUGAAAGGCACCAACUAUAAAAUUUUCAUUCGAAAACCAUUACCCAAAGUACCCCUCACUUCCCAUUAUGCCCCUCACUUAAGUGACAUUCUCUCACCGUUUUUCAGCCACUGAGGACACGCCAUGUGGCGUUGUCAAAAGUG